AGUGAACGCUGGCGGUAGGCCUAACACAUGCAAGUCGAACGGCAGCACAGUAAGAGCUUGCUCUUACGGGUGGCGAGUGGCGGACGGGUGAGGAAUACCUGGGAAUCUACUUUUUCGUGGGGGAUAACGUAGGGACACUUACGCUAAUACCGCAUACGACCUACGGGUGGAAGCAGGGGAUCUUCGGACCUUGCGCGAUUGAAUGAGCCGAUGUCGGAUUAGCUAGUUGGCGGGGUAAAGGCCCACCAAGGCGACGAUCCGUAGCUGGUCUGAGAGGAUGAUCAGCCACACUGGAACUGAGACACGGUCCAGACUCCUACGGGAGGCAGCAGUGGGGAAUAUUGGACAAUGGGCGCAAGCCUGAUCCAGCCAUACCGCGUGGGUGAAGAAGGCCUUCGGGUUGUAAAGCCCUUUUGUUGGGAAAGAAAAGCAGCAGGUUAAUACCCCGCUGUUCUGACGGUACCCAAAGAAUAAGCACCGGCUAACUUCGUG
rnacentral:rRNA from 1 species